rnacentral:misc_RNA from 1 species
AACCAUUCUCACCUGCGGCUAGACCUGCGGAAGGAUCAUUACCUAGAGUUGUAGGCUUUGCCUGCUAUCUCUUACCCAUGUCUUUUGAGUACCUUACGUUUCCUCGGCGGGUUCGCCCGCCGGUUGGACAAAACUUAAACCCUUUGUAGUUGCAAUCAGCGUCUGAAAAAACUUAAUAGUUACAACUUUCAGCAACGGAUCU